CCUCUUCUCCUGCCCCAUCCUUCUUCCCUCACUGCCUUACAGGUGUUGUUCUCUGGGAGUGCUCCCCAGAAAGCCUCCUGGGCACUAAUCCCUGCCUCGGAGUCUUUUUCCUAGGGACCGAAGGGAGUAGCCAAGUUGUAGUCGGUUAAAUGUGGUAAGGUAAGCACAGGGCUUAGCACAGUGCCUGGCAUACAGUGAGGCCUCUGGUCAUGACAGCUGUUACCAUCUUCCACGAAGGUCAUUGUUGCCCAGUCCUGGCUGGACAUCACAAUCAGCUGGGAAGCUUGGGAAGAAAAGGUCCAGAUGCCUGGGCCACUUCCCCCGAGAUUUUGAUUCAGUAGAGCUGAAAGCAGGCCCAGAUUUCUGUGAUUUCAGAAGUCCCACAAGCGUUCUGAUGGAUGGCCAGGGCUGGGAGGCCCUGACCUGGGCCAUCUUUCUCUAUCACCGUCGCGUCUGAAUUUACAGGCAAGAACCAUAGACCCACGUCCAGCAAAGUGGCCAGUCCGAGGACAGACAGGACAACAAAGCUUGCCUUCCUGCCUCUCUCUGGGUUAUUAAGAGGAUCAAAAGGGACCGCGAUCGCGAGAACACUUCUGCCCGUGGCAAAACACACUACAGCAGCAGGCCUGCCUGUGCCCUUCCUGCCUCUGUACCAUCUCGAGGGGCCUUCUGCCUACACUCUGUUCGCUUUGGAUAUCCUAACUCAGCCUGGGAUCAGCCUACCCUUCACCACCCGAGACGACUACGACCCCUCAUCCGUGGGAUCUCCAGCCUCCCACUUACAACAGAGGGAAACGCUACCUGCCGAUUCAUUCGUAGAGAGGCACUUAGUUAGGCACUCGGGAUACAGAGUCCAAAAGCACUUCAUGAAAGAGCUCUGCUCAUCACCAGUCAGUACCAGGCAGUGCGACGAGGCCGUGAGGGGACCCAGCCUCUGAUGGAGGCUGGGCUGGAGGACUGGACUCCAGGUUCCCGACCUCUGCUUGUUCUUUCACCCCCUACCUCUGCCUCAAAUCCACCGAACAGCCCAGAAACCUCCGGCUGCCCUCUGCCAACCUCCAGGUCUCCAGGGCCAAGCCCUCGGGGGCCUCCCUGCUCCCCACCCACACCCCCCACUCCUCUCGCCAGCCUCUCUGCCUUCUCCCCCAUGGAGUCCCCUCCAAGUCCAACUGCCCUGCUCAGGCCCUCGAUUCUAGGAGACGGGUCACGUCCACCACCCCGGGGUGCGGCGCGAGCCAAACUAAUCAAUGGCAGAGCUGUAGAUUAAGGGGCCCUGCCCAAGGCCAUCCAUCACUGUCGUUUACACGGGCCUGUCAGCCUGCAAAUGGAAAAGGAGAUGAUGUGAAACAACCCAUCUGCAGGUUUUUAACGCUCUUUACAAAUUGCUGUGGUGAAUAA